rnacentral:rRNA from 1 species
GUGGGGAGUUUUGCGCAAUGGGCGAAAGCCUGACGCAGCGACGCCGCGUGGGUGAUGAAGGUCUUCGGAUCGUAAAGCCCUGUCGGCAGGGACGAUGCGCUCACUGGCCAACAUCCAGUGGGCUCGACGGUACCUGCAAAGGAAGCACCGGCUAACUCUGUGCCAGCAGCCGCGGUAAGACAGAGGGUGCUAGCGUUGUUCGGAAUUAUUGGGCGUAAAGGGCGCGUAGGCGGCUUGGUAAGUCGGAUGUGAAAUCCCAGGGCUCAACCGUGGAAGUGCAUCCGAAACUGCCUUGCUUGAGUGUCGGAGAGGGUGGUGGAAUUCCCAGUGUAGAGGUGAAAUUCGUAGAUAUUGGGAGGAACAUCCGUGGCGAAGGCGACCACCUGGACGGCUACUGACGCUGAGGCGCGAAAGCGUGGGGAGCAAACAGGAUUAGAUACCCUGGUAGUCC